UUAUUGGAGAGUAUGAUACCGGCUCAGGACGAACGCUAGCGGCGUGGAUUAGGCAUGCAAGUCGUACGAGAAUCAGUGGCUUCGGCCGCUGAGGAAAGUGGCGAAAGGGUGAGUAACGCGUAGGUAAUUUACCUUUGAGAUCGGGAUAACGGUUCGAAAGGGCCGCUAAUACCGUAUACCAUUGGAGUUCCUUCGGGAUAUCCAAUGAAAGGUGGGUCUUCGGAUCUGCCACUCAUAGAUGAGCCUGCGUCCUAUUAGCUAGUUGGUGAGGUAACGGCUCACCAAGGCUACGAUGGGUAGCUAGUCUGAGAGGAUGAUUAGCCACAUUGGGACUGAGACACUGCCCAAACUCCUACGGGAGGCUGCAGUCGAGAAUAUUUCGCAAUGGGGGCAACCCUGACGAUGCGACGCCGCGUGGGGGAUGAAGGUCUUCGGAUUGUAAACCUCUGUGUUAUGGGAAGAAUCGCUAGUAGGUGAUAAGCUUGCUAGCUUGACGGUACCAUAGUAGAAAGCCCCAGCUAACUGCGUGCCAGCAGCUGCGGUAAUACGUGGGGGGCAAGCGUUGUCCGGAUUUACUGGGCGUAAAGCGUGUGUAGGCGGUUACAUAAGUCGAGUGUGAAAUGGCUUGGCUCAACCAAGCAACUGCGCUCGAAACUGUGUGGCUUGAGUACGGAAGAGGAAAGUGGAAUGUAAGGUGUAGCGGUGAAAUGCGUAGAUAUCUUAUAGAACACCUAUGGCGAAGGCAGCUUUCUGGUCCGAUACUGACGCUGAGUACACGAAAGCUUGGGGAGCGAACGGGAUUAGAUACCCCGGUAGUCCAAGCCGUAAACGAUGGGUACUAAGUGUAGGGGGUAUUGAUUCCUCCUGUGCUGUAGCUAACGCAUUAAGUACCCCGCCUGGGGAGUACGGCCACAAGGUUAAAACUCAAGGUAAUUGACGGGGGGCCGCACAAGCGGUGGAGCAUGUCGCUUAAUUCGAAGCAACGCGAAGA
rnacentral:rRNA from 1 species